AUUGAACGCUGGCGGCAUGCUUUACACAUGCAAGUCGAACGGUAACAGGCCGCAAGGUGCUGACGAGUGGCGAACGGGUGAGUAAUGCAUCGGAACGUGCCCAGUCGUGGGGGAUAACGCAGCGAAAGCUGCGCUAAUACCGCAUACGAUCUAUGGAUGAAAGCGGGGGACCGUUAGGCCUCGCGCGAUUGGAGCGGCCGAUGUCAGAUUAGGUAGUUGGUGGGGUAAAGGCUCACCAAGCCAACGAUCUGUAGCUGGUCGGUGAGGACGACCCGCCGAACUGGGACUAGGACACGGCCCAGACUCCUACGGGAGGCAGCAGUGGGGAAUUUUGGACAAUGGGCGCAAGCAUGAUCCAGCAAUGCCGCGUGCAGGAAGAAGGCCUUCGGGUUGUAAACUGUUUUUGUACGGAACGAAACGGUCCUGGUUAAUACCCGGGGCUAAUGACGGUACCGUAAGAAUAAGCACCGGCUAACUACGUGCCAGCCGCCGCAGUAACAC
rnacentral:rRNA from 1 species